rnacentral:rRNA from 1 species
UACGGGGGGGGCAAGCGUUGUUCGGAAUUACUGGGCGUAAAGGGCUCGUAGGCGGCCAACUAAGUCAGACGUGAAAUCCCCAGGCUCAACCUGGGAACUGCGUCUGAUACUGGAUGGCUUGAAUCCGGGAGAGGGAUGCAGAAUUCCAGGUGUAGCGGUGAAAUGCGCAGAUAUCAGGAGGAACACCAAUAGCGAAGGCAGCUCGCUGGGACGUUACUGACACUGAGGCGCGAAAGCGUGGGGAGCAAACAGG